rnacentral:piRNA from 1 species
GUUUGCUGAGCUUAAGGAGAAGA